ensembl:lncRNA
UGGGGGCGGCCCGCUAGACGGCAGCCUGGGGGGGCGGCACGCUAGCGGUGUUUGAAUACUUGUUAACAGCUUGUUCCUUCUCUCCUCAGCGGACAGAACAGGAGCCCGAGACCCAGAAAAGACUGACGGAACCACCAUGGCUUAACCUGUGUCCCCACUAGACCCCUGACCCCCUCCCCUGUCCCCGACCCCCUCCCCUGUCCCCACAACCCACCCCCAGUCUCUCCCCGGCCUCUCUCCCAAUCUCUCCCGGCCUCCCCUCCAGUCUCUCCCCGGCCUCCCUAACCCUGUCCAUGUGAGGGGUUGGCAGCCCCCCCUAUCCCACUGGAGCCAUGAUGAACCUCCAGAAGCACCAAACCCUGGCUCUGACCGGACUUUCAGUCCUCCUCCUCAGUCAGCCUGCCCUCCGUCAAGAAGGCCCCCAGAAGAGACGCCUGUCCAUGGGGAACCUGUUCAGACGGCGCCCGGGACCCCAAGAGGAAGUCCCUGGCUCCAUGGGGAAGGAGGGGUGGAUGGUAUCGCCAGCAUAGACAGCAUCCCCUCAGACCUCACGCUGAACGAUUAGAACUCUGCCUUCUCAGUGGCCGGAGCUGCCUGCACCUCCUCCCUCGGGGCGUCAUCCUCCUCGCCUCCUCCUCUUCCUCCCGGGGUCGAGAGCUGCUGGAGUGCCCUCUGUGCCUUCUACGUCACUCUAGGGACAGUUUCCCAGACAUCAUGACCUGCCACCACCGCUCCUGUGCGGAUUGCCUGCGCCAGUACUUGCGAAUAGAGAUCAGUGGUCGCGCGUCAACAUCAGCUGUCCAGAGUGCUCUGAGCGGUUUCAACCCCACGACAUACAGCAUCAUCCUGGGAGACCAGCCCCUCAUGGAGAAGUACAGGAGUUCAUGUUGAGGCGAUGCUGGUGACCGACCCCGACUGUCGAUGGUGCCCCGCCAGACUGCGGGUAAGAACCUCCGCUCAGACACCCAUAGGGCAGACUGUACAACCUCAGCUCAGACACACAUAGGGCAGACUGUACACCUCAGCUCAGACACACAGGGCAGACUGCGGGUAAGGACCUCAGCUCAGACACACACAGGGCAGACGGGAAACCUCAGAACACACAGGGCAGACUGGAACCUCAGACACACACAGGCAGACUGGGAACCUCCAGACACCACAGGGCAGCUGGGAACCUCAGACAAACACAGGGCAGACUGGGAACCUCAGACACACACAGGGCAGACUGGGAACCUCAGCUCAGAUACACACACACACAGGGCAGACUGGGAACCUCAGCUCAGAUACACACACACACAGGGCAGACUGGGAACCUCAGCUCAGAUACACACAACAGGGCAGACUGGGACCUCCGCUCAGUACACACACACAGGGCAGACUGGGAACCUCAGCUCAGAUACACACACACAGGGCAGACUGGGAACCUCAGCUCAGAUACCACACACAGGGCAGACUGGGAACUCAGCUCAGAUAACACACACAGGGCAGACUGGGAACCUCAGCUCAGAUAACACACACAGGGCAGACUGGGACCUCAGCUCAGUACACACAGGGAGACUGAACCUACUCAGACCACACACAGGGCAACUGGGAACCUCAGCUCAGAUCACACACAGGCAGCGCAGACUGGGAACCUCAGCUCAGACACCCACAAGCAGGAUGGAACCUCAGCUCCGAUACACACACACAGGGCAGGGGAACCUCAGUCAGAUACACACACACAGGGCAGACUGGGAACCUCAGCUCCAUACACACACACACGGGCAGACUGGGAACCUCAGCUCGAUACACACACAGGCAGACUGGAACCUCAGCCAGACACACCAGGGCGUGUCUGAGCUCAAAGUGCUGUACAGAAACCAGCCUAAAACCCCCAAACAGGAAGCAAUGCAGGUGUAAAGCACGGUGGCUAGGAAAAAACUCCCUAGAAAGGCCAAAACCUAGGAAGAAAACCUAGAGAGGAACCGGCUAUGUGGGGUGGCCAGUCCUCUUCUGGCUGUGCUGGUGGAGAUUAUAACAGAACAUGGCCAAGAUGUUCAAAUGUUCAUAAAUGACCAGCAUGGUCGAGAUAAUAAUAAGGCAGAACAGUUGAAACUGGAGCAGCAGCACGGUCAGGUGGACUGGGGACAACAAGGAGUCAUCAUGUCAGGUAGUCCUGAGGCAUGGUCCUAGGGCUCAGGUCCUCCGGAGGAGAGAAAGAAAAGAGGAAUUGAGAGGCACACUUAAUUCACACAGGCACAGAUAGGAUACCCAUAAUGUAUUGGGCCUAUAGCUUAC